UAAAUUUUUUUAUGUAAAUUUUAAUAUUGUAUAUUAUUUAAAGAAAAUUUUAUGGUUUAUAAAAAAUAGAAAAAAUAAGUAGAAAAUUUUAAUAGUUUUAUUGUUUUAAAAUAAAAAUUAUUAAUUUUAGUGUUGAAAAGUCGCUUUUUUUUAUAUCUGUGUAUGUUGUUUUUAUAUUAGAAAGUUAUAUUUAUUUAUGGAUUAUUUAAGAAUAGAUAGAAUUUGAAGUGUUUUUUUUUUUGGUUUUAUAACUGUUUUUUAUGAGAGUUUUAUUGGUUUUAGGUUUUAAUAAGUUUUUAUUAAAUAGAAAAUUUUAGAAUUAGUAGUUUUAAAAAAUUUAGGUGAGUUAUUUUAAUAUAAAGUGUUAAAUAAAGAUUUAAUCAAAUGUUUAUUAAAGACUUAGACUUUUAUAUAAAGUUGGCUUCUGCCCUGUGAUUUUUAUUUAACGGCAGUCUUAGCGUGAGGACAUUAAGGUAGCAAAAUAGUUUGUGCUUUUAUUGAGUUCUAGUAUGAAUGAAGUUAUUGGUUAAUUUUUUUCUUUUUUUUUAUAUGAAUUUAGGUAGGUAUAAGAAUUUACUUGUAUAAUUUUGCAAAGAUAAGUCUUUGGAAAUUCUUUUUUAGUGUUAUAAAUUUUUUUUAUACACUAAAAAAUUUUCUAGGGUAGAAUAUUAUAUAGUAGGAUUAACUAUAAAUAAUAUAAGGAAUUACUCCAGAGUUAACAGAAAAUCAUACUUGAUCUAGUGGUUAUAGUAUAGUAAGUUUUACAUCGAUGUUGUAUUUAGGUGUAUUAAGGGGGAGAAAAUUUAAUUAUUAAGACUGUUCUUCUUUUAAUUAACUUAACGUGAUAUUAGUUUAAUUCAUCGUGAGAUAGAAUUGUUUAUCUUGAUAAUUAUUGGUUUUUAAUGUUUUUAGUACGAAAGGAAAAUUAUGAAAAGUUAUAAACUUUAUAAGAAUGGGAUUUUAGUCA
rnacentral:rRNA from 1 species